CUGAAUAAAUAUUCUGGCCUUUGGAGUUCUUCAGCUACUUGAUGAAUCACUUUCAGCACUAACCAAAUGGCACAUGUAGGUUUCUGAACACAAACUAAGCACGAACAAGCUUCCACAUACAAAGGUUCACAACUGAAUCGAACUGAAUGACGCAGGAAAAGGUGCGGUGGGGGUUUUAUAGACGGAGCUUUCAACACAACCGAAACGUACGCCCGCCGAAAAAAGUAGUCCCAACUAAAUUGGGUAUUUACCCAAUCAAUGUCUCGUUAUUGCUUAAUUUUUUGGAGUCAGACACAGAAUAACUCGAUUGUCUUCCAAACAGUAGCGAAAUAUUUAGUAACUAAUAACUAAAAGUGAUUUUGGCGAAAAAUAAUUGAAGACGUUUAUAAUCGUUUGACUGGCGAGGGACAAAGUUCAAGGAAACAACGUUGCCGCUUACAUUGUAAUUUCCCAUGUGCACUGAAAGGUCCUACAUAUUUAUACAUUUUUGUCUAUGGCUAUUGCGAAAUGCCUUGCGAAAGCUCUGUGAAAACUUGCAGUUUCCAUGUAAACUCGUUUGUGUUGGACACAUUUUUGAAAACUGAGCAUAAAUGUCGAUUUAUUGUUACAGUGUAUGAACUUUUAACAGCUCUGUAUAUUUUAACGUCAAAACUUCAACAACCUUCCAGCAAAUGGAGAAUAAAAUCUGCUGAAAAUAAUGUAAAAAAUUUACGUUUCUAUCUCGACUGGUUUCUACAGAAAUUGACUUGAAGUUCGGGACAAUUGUUACUCAACAGGAUAACUUUAUAGAUUUUCUCUCUUUCAAUAGGGGCCUGAAUCGAUUGUCUCUGGAAUAAGCCUUUUUCUAUGCUCUGGAAACUAUGCGGAAAUGGAGGCUUAAGACGUAGGGGCUUUUAACAACUCUGGAUAUUCUCAUAAGAAUUUUAAUAGGAAUCCAAUUUGAGUGAAACUAGAGAAUAUAGAGAAGAUGGUCUAUUGAAAGCGCUUUGAAACGUUCAAGUUUAAACGGGACUUUGAAUUUUUGUUAAUCGAUUUUAAGUGAGACAGUUUCACUUAUCUCUACUUUGGACAUCUUCACACACUUCAAAAUAGAUCUGAUUGAACUGAAACUUUGAACAAAUGGGGACUCAACUCUACGAAAGAUGAUCUGAAAAUCUCCACUUUCUAUGCCGACUGGUUUGACCUGGACGAGUUUUUGAAAUUUGACUAAGUGCGGAACAAUUGUUACUGAACACGAUCACUUUUGAGUAA
rnacentral:lncRNA from 1 species